CUCGACAACGGAUAUCUCGGCUCUCGCAUCGAUGAAGAACGUAGCAAAAUGCGAUACUUGGUGUGAAUUGCAGAAUCCCGUGAACCAUCGAGUUUUUGAACGCAAGUUGCGCCUAAAGCCAUUAGGCUGAGGGCACGUCUGCCUGGGCGUCUCG
rnacentral:rRNA from 1 species